CUUAGUGGCUCUCUGCAGUUUAUUAUGAGUGCUCUGCCUUUUAAACACAGGUCUUCUCAGCAGGGAACACGGUGCUUCUCUUCUGCACUUUCCUACUCAAGCUGGUGUUCUACCCCCUUCCCUCGGGAUGAAAUGUGGGGGGUUGCCCUUUACAAGAAGACUCUUCACUGAGUCCUUUUAUACAGAAGAGGCUGAAGUUCAGCCUUCCCCAAGUUGCACCACUUGCAGCCAUAGGAGCAUUAGGUGCUGCAGGAAAAGGCACAAAUGGAGAAAAUUGCCCAUGGCUGAGUUCUCCCACUGCCUGGUGAUCUGAAGCACAACCCACCGGGCCCACCAGCUCCUGCCAUGCAGCUGAAUCUCUGCCUGCUCCGUUUCACGCUGGAGUUUGAUCUUAAGCGCCAGUGAAAGGUCAGGGUGGCCUGUGCAGGUGUGGGAUAUGCGCUGCCCACGAGGUCUGGCCAGCACUGUCUGUACCUCUUCCUUGGCUUUCCUGCUGCUGCCGGAUGGGUUUUCACCCUCAGCAGCAGGAAAAUGGAAUGCCUCAAAGACACAAAAGCCAGGGUUUGGCACAGAGACAGAGGGAUGUCCAGUAGCCACAUCUGUACGUGAAAACAAGGGGAGAAUUUAUGCACACAAAAAGGAGACCUCUGUGAGCUUCACAGGAUAUUCCUGGACAAUUAAAGGUGUCAGUGUUAAUGAAGAAAGAUGGGAGCAGGCUCUGAUGAGGUCCACCCCUCCAUUCUUGUCUUAAACGACCUUGAGGAAAUCUCUUCUGCUCCUCUGACUAUCUGUUAGGAGGGAGUGGUCCUUGCUUUCCUCUCAGAGCAGGCUAAAUCAGUGUUUUGAGGAUAAACACAUCCAAGGUCUGUGAAAUGCUGAGUUUGUAUGGUGACAGAGGCUAUCAAAUGAUGUAAAAACAGAUUUGGGAUUAUGAGGCUUUCCCUCUGGAGACCAGGGCAGCUUCACUCCUUGGAAUUUUGGCUGCAUUGCUGGCUGAGGGCUGGGGUUUAUUUACUGGGUUAACAAUGUCUCUGGUCUACCCACCUCCUCUGGGGACCAAAUCCUUCCAGAUGCUGUGUAAUUAAUAAAAUGGUAGGUUGCAGUUCAUAACCUAUUAAUGACAAAAAAGAUACUAUGAGCUGAUCUCUAUGAGAAAUCUACUUCUUUGAAGAGAAGACUUAU